rnacentral:lncRNA from 1 species
UGACUAACAGUGUCAUGUUGUAUCCUGACACUGGCAGCGUUUUUAUUUUGAACUACUGCAUUUUUAUUUAAAUUUUCCUAGUAAAGAACUGUUAUUGCUAUUCCCAUAUCUUUUCCUGAGAGCGCCUCAAUUUCAAGAUUACAAUAAUUUGGAUUAUAAAAAUUUAAACAUUUUUCCAUUUCAAGAGAAGUUUCUGCCUUCCUUAGCAGAGACCUGUCUUUUCAAACCAAGUUACAUAUAAUACCUUUCAGGAAUCAGAUAACAGAACUUUGUAUCUGGGGGAUCUAACAAGAGGUGCCUCCUCCAUUUAGGUUUGCAUGACCCCACUGUGGAAGGGAUUACUUAAGUAGCUCAGGAUUCAAAAGUUAGCACACAGGAGUUAAGCUGCUCAGGCUUUGUCCAUGGAUGCUGUCCUACUUUUGUCACUGUCUCUUUGAGCCUUCAGUUCAGUUCCGUUGCUCUGGACUGCCAGGUCAGGACAACUUCCAGGAUUGGAAGCUGAACUCAGCCCUUGGCAGCUGAGUGCAGCCAGCCCAGGCCAGCAGUGCCCCAUUGCCAGUGCUGGGAGGGCUCCUGGAACAUCUGCCCCUGUUACUCAGGUCCAGAGAUCAGCAGAAGAGGCUGGAAACCACUCUGGGCUUAGACCUGUCUGUGUGCAUUCUGCCAGCCCAGCCCUGCACAGAGCUUCCCCGCUGCUUCUUGUCCUUCUUGAAUACAUGGACGGGGCAUGAUGCUUUUUGAAUACCUCUUCACUUGUCCUUCUGAACCAUCCUCUCUAUUAUCCUUUCAAUUAUUUCAUCUUUGUUUCUUUUUAGUACAAGUAGUCUAAGGACAGAGGACUUGAUCCUUAUCAUUAUGCAACCUAAAUUGGCAAUGCCUGCCCUGAAGUGUCUAGCUUCCCAUCACAAUCAGAGUGGCAGGCAUUGCCUUGUACCACAUGCCCAAAUUUCAAAAUGCUGAAAGAGAAGGGCUUUUAUACCUUACUGAAAUCUAUUUCAGCCUUUC